ensembl:lncRNA
GGGCAGCUGUUCUGAAUCCUAUCUUGUUGCUGGGAAAGGGAGGAAGGGCUGCUGUAGUGGAUUCUCCUGGUAAUUGCAAGCCCAGCUGAGGACAGGUCCAUGCUGACAGGCCGAGCAGCAGCAGGACAGGCUUGUCUACAGAGAUAAACAACUGGUUGGCUGAGCGGGGCCUCUACUUGUGCCCCGCCUCUGCGUCUUGCUGUGAGGACAUAAGUUCUUCCAGAGUCACUGCUUCACUAUAGUUACAUUUGAAAGACAGUCAAACCCUUGCUGAUAUGAAGAUUUUUCUAAGACUUAGCUCUUCUCUUCUGAAGAAUUAAUAGACUGAGAUGGAUCUGUUAAUAUCUUCUCCAUGAUACAAAGAAGAUGAACCCACACGCUGGUUGAGCCAGGGCUUGGUUAUGUUGCCCUGACCAUGGAGCUGUCCAAAGAUUCUUUUGGAGAAGCAAAUGGCAACCCACUCCAGUACUCUUGCCUGGGAAAGUCCAUGGACAGAGGAGCCUGGCGGACUACAGUCCUUGGGGAUCACAAAGAGUCGGACAUGACUGAGCAGCUGAACGACAACAGUGCUGCCGAGGCUUUUCAGGGAAGCUCUGGAGCCCAUUAGUCCUUUACUGCCAUAGGUCUAGAGACUUGCCUAACCUCUCUGAGCCUUGUUUUCUCAUCUGUGAAAUGGGAAUAGCAGCCUCGACCUCACAGCCUUGCUGGGAGUAUUAGGAUGUGGAGACCAGGGCUCAGCAGUGUUACUGACCCUUACACACUGAAGUGAACAUUCAGGAACAGCAGAAUGAAUGGACUGAUCAGAGUUUGGAAAUGUCUUUUCCACUGGCUUUUCCCGAGCUUUCCAAAGCUGGAGCUGUUUUUCCCUUCUCACCACUUCUCCUGGCUCCUCAUUCACCCUCCUCUCUAGCUCCACUGGGAUGCUCUGCCUUCCACGUCCUUCCCACCCCUCAAGUCUCAGCUCUCUCAUUUUGUAACCCCUCAGUCACUUCCUUCCAUGCUUCCAAUCCCCGGAGAGGGCCCCUCCAACCCACAGUUCACAGCAGACUUGCUGUCUGAACCACAUCCUCUUUAAACCAUUAUGGAAUCUUAUUCCUCCACCACUGGAGUGUAAACGUCCAAAGGCCUGGGGUCCUAUCCCUCUUCCAGAAACCAGACACAGACUAGGAAACAUGCCACCAGCUCAUCGAUUCUUGUUCAGUGAAUGAAUUCAUCAUCUUCACAAAUUCUUACAGAAUGAGUCAAAUAAAAAAUAUAAGUGCUUGCUAAGUCCUGCCCCGUAGCUUAGCAUCCAAGCCUGUUAUACUCUGUAUCCAGACUCCCUGUUCCGCCCUCAGUUUCAGCCAAGUGCCCUCAUGCUGUGCCUCUCACUGAUUUCUGCCUUUGGACCUUUGUUUUCUCUGUUCUUUGUCUCUUGAAUGACCCCUGUACUCGACCAAGGUCCCACUUAUCCAUCUAGGUUCAAGUUCAGUGCCAGCUUACCUACAGAGUCAGCUUCCCCACAGAGUCAGCUUCCCCUUCAAACAGAAUCCCUCUUUCCUUUCCUUAUUCUCACUGAUUUUAGACACACUUUAAAAAUGUCUGUCCAUUUUUUUUUUGCCUGUAUAUGCUUAUUUAGGUAUGUCCCCCAACUCCAUUUAAACUUCUUGAGAACAGAGACCAUAUUUUGCCCUCACAAGGUUAUUAUGAGGGUUAAUGAGAUAGCAUAGGUUAGAAAAGCACAGAGUUACUUGUGUUACAUUUGUGGCAUCUUAGGACUUCCCUGGUGGUCCAGUGGCUAAGACUCUAUGCUCCCAAUGCAGGGGGCCCAGGUUCGAUCCCUAGUCAGAGAACUAAAAGAUCCUGCAUGCCACAGCUAAGACCUGGUGGGGACAAAUAAAUAAAAUAUACUUUUAAAAAUUGUGGUAUCUUGGUCACCCUCCACCCAUUUGUUGCUCCAAGACCUAGUUCUCAGCUUGGUAAACAUAUGCUUGAUAAUCUGUACUGCAUAAAUGAUUAAAAAAAAAAUAAAAGGAGCCCUCUUGGAGGUCUGUGCUUGAAAGUAGGAUAGGAGGAUCAUUGAAUGUAUUAAGUGAUGAAAGAAGGUUCUGGCUUCAUCUGCUUCCUUUUCCCCUUCCUUGCCCUAUGAGAGCACCAGUGCAGGACUGGUGUGGUU